rnacentral:lncRNA from 1 species
AAUACCAUCUUUUUCAGAUACAACAAUCAGUAUAUAAUCAUUAAGCACACACUAAUCUGCUCGAUACAUGUGUGCUUGUUAAAUUGAUUGAAAUUUAAAUUCUUGAACCCAAAAACAAAGAAAGAAAAGGAAAAAAAAAAGAAAAAAAGAAUCGGGGUAUGGUAGAGGCCCCUGGCUCUACCGAGGUGGCUUCGUAUGGCUGCUCCAUAUGGUGAGUCAGUGACGGUAGCGAGAAUCAAGCGAGCUACUGGCUAAGGAUGGAAUUCAGUCGCCUGAUUCAGUGGGCUGCUUUUGUCAGGAGGCUGCGGCUGUAGGUGUGGAACGGGAAAAGAGUUGACAGAAAGGGAAAAAGAAAAAAUUAGGAGAAUGGAGGCUGGCGGUGAGAAUGGAGGCUGCGGGGUGGGGUAAGAAUGGAGGCUGCAGUGAGAAUAGAGGAUGGCGUCUGGCGGUGAGAAUGGAGGCUGCAGG